rnacentral:rRNA from 1 species
CAAUAGCGUAUAUUAAAGUUGUUGCAGUUAAAAAGCUCGUAGUUGGAUUUCUGGUGGGAGCGAUCGGUCUGGCGCUUAGCGCGAGUACUUGCAUCGUCUCCGGCCAUCCUUGGGGAGAGUCUGUCUGGCAUUAGGUUGUCGGGCAGAGGAUCCUCAUCGUUUACUGUGAAAAAAUUAGAGUGUUCAAAGCAGGCUUAUGCCGUUGAAUAUAUUAGCAUGGAAUAAUAAGAUAGGACUUUGGUACUAUUUUGUUGGUUUGCGCACCAAAGUAAUGAUUAAUAGGGACAGUUGGGGGUAUUCGUAUUCCGUUGUCAGAGGUGAAAUUCUUGGAUUUACGGAAGACAAACUACUGCGAAAGCAUUUACCAAGGAUGUUUUCAUUAA